UUUUGAAGUAGGAUCUAUGUUCAAGUGCAGAAAGGGCCCAAUCUUGUAGAUGAACCACACAGCCAGCUUCUGGAUGCAGGUGCAGUGCCACAUUGUUUGUCACUUCCUGAUGUGCCCCACCAGCACUGAAGAGAUAGCCUGGAGACAGGGCAAGAGGAAGGCUGAGAAGGAUGAGAUGGUGAGUGCCAGAUUCUUCCUGGCCCUGAGCCCACCCCCAGUGUGACACUCAACUUUUAGGAGUGGGAGAGCAAGAUUGACGGCUUCAAGUGCUUCACCAAGAAGAUGGACAACAGGGCACUCAGCUCAACUUCACAGCCAAUGAGUGGUGGCAGGCUUUGAGAAAGAGCAUCAGAAGCCUGACAGUUCUUCUUCAGCCUCAGCCAGGCCUUGGAGCUGGACCAGGCCAUCCACUUCAGUAUAGAUGCCUUCCACUCUGUCAGUGAGCUCUUUGCCAGUCAGUCCAGGAAGGACCUGGACCCAGCCAUGGACCUGUUAGUGCUGUCUCAGGGACACCAGACCAACACCCUGGACAUCAUCCACAUACACA
rnacentral:lncRNA from 1 species